GCCAGGCUUGGCGGUGCACGCCUGUAAUCCCAGCUACUCGGGAGGCUGAGUCAGGAGAAUCACUUGAACCCGGGAGGUGGAUGUUGCAGUGAGCUGAAAUCAUGCCACUGCAGUCUGGCCUGGGUGACAUAGUGAGACUCUGUCUCAA
rnacentral:SRP_RNA from 1 species